UACGUAGGGCGCAAGCGUUGUCCGGAAUUAUUGGGCGUAAAGAGCUCGUAGGCGGCUUGUCACGUCGGGUGUGAAAGCCCGGGGCUUAACCCCGGGUCUGCAUUCGAUACGGGCUAGCUAGAGUGUGGUAGGGGAGAUCGGAAUUCCUGGUGUAGCGGUGAAAUGCGCAGAUAUCAGGAGGAACACCGGUGACGAAGGCGGAUCUCUGGGCCAUUACUGACGCUGAGGAGCGAAAGCGUGGGGAGCGAACAGG
rnacentral:rRNA from 1 species